GAUGAACGCUGGCGGCGUGCCUAAUACAUGCAAGUCGAGCGAACAGAUGAGGAGCUUGCUCCUCUGACGUUAGCGGCGGACGGGUGAGUAACACGUGGAUAACCUACCUAUAAGACUGGGAUAACUUCGGGAAACCGGAGCUAAUACCGGAUAAUAUAUUGAACCGCAUGGUUCAAUAGUGAAAGACGGUUUUGCUGUCACUCAUAGAUGGAUCCGCGCCGCAUUAGCUAGUUGGUAAGGUAACGGCUUACCAAGGCAACGAUGCGUAGCCGACCUGAGAGGGUGAUCGGCCACACUGGAACUGAGACACGGUCCAGACUCCUACGGGAGGCAGCAGUAGGGAAUCUUCCGCAACGGGCGAAAGCCUGACGGAGCAACGCCGCGUGAGUGAUGAAGGUCUUCGGAUCGUAAAACUCUGUUAUUAGGGAAGAACAAAUGUGUAAGUAACUAUGCACGUCUUGACGGUACCUAAUCAGAAAGCCACGGCUAACUACGUG
rnacentral:rRNA from 1 species